rfam:Myotis brandtii contig251795, whole genome shotgun sequence.
GGCAGUUCUUGGGUGAUGCACCCCAGAAUCGAACUCCCUCCUCUCUGGUUCCAGGUGCAUUACCCAAGAACCCCA